GUCCCUGUAGCUAAACGGAUAUAGUGUGGGGUUCCGAACCCCAAGUUAAGGGUUCGACUCCCUUCAGGGACC
rnacentral:tRNA from 1 species